GUAGCUGGUCUGAGAGGAUGGCCAGCCACACUGGRACUGAGACACGGUCCAGACUCCUACGGGAGGCAGCAGUGGGGAAUAUUGGACAAUGGGGGCAACCCUGAUCCAGCAAUGCCGCGUGUGUGAAGAAGGCCUGAGGGUUGUAAAGCACUUUCAGUGGGGAGGAGGRUUGAUAGGUUAAGAGCUGAUUAAUUGGACGUUACCCACAGAAGAAGCACCGGCUAACUCCGUGCCAGCAGCCGCGGUAAUACGGAGGGUGCGAGCGUUAAUCGGAAUUACUGGGCGUAAAGGGUGCGUAGGUGGUUGAWUAAGUUAUCUGUGAAAUCCCUGGGCUUAACCUGGGCAGGACAGAUAAWACUGUUURACUCGAGUAUGG
rnacentral:rRNA from 1 species